GGUGGGCCCCCUCGCAUGGGAGUCCGGGAACCGGGUCAGGUCGGGAACGAAGCAGCCCUAACCGGUCGCUUUCAGUGCCGAGGUUCAGGCUCACCUUU
rnacentral:SRP_RNA from 1 species